rnacentral:rRNA from 1 species
UGGGGUGAUGGCCUACCAAGGCGACGACGGGUAGCCGGCUGAGAGGGCGACCGGCCACACUGGGACUGAGACACGGCCCAGACUCUACGGGAGGCAGCAGUGGGGAAUAUUGCACAAUGGGCGGAAGCCUGAUGCAGCGACGCCGCGUGAGGGAUGACGGCCUUCGGGUUGUAAACCUCUUUCAGCUCCGACGAAGCGGCUGGGUUUUCCCGGUCGUGACGGUAGGGGCAGAAGAAGCGCCGGCCAACUACGUGCCAGCAGCCGCGGUAAGACGUAGGGCGCGAGCGUUGUCCGGAUUUAUUGGGCGUAAAGAGCUCGUAGGCGGCUUGUCGCGUCGACUGUGAAAUCCCGUGGCUCAACUGCGGGCUUGCAGUCGAUACGGGCAGGCUGGAGUUCGGUAGGGGAGACUGGAAUUCCUGGUGUAGCGGUGAAAUGCGCAGAUAUCAGGAGGAACACCGGUGGCGAAGGCGGGUCUCUGGGCCGAUACUGACGCUGAGGAGCGAAAGCGUGGGGAGCGAACAGGAUUAGAUACCCUGGUAGUCCACGCUGUAAACGUUGGGCGCUAGGUGUGGGGGGCCUCUCCGGUUCUCUGUGCCGCAGCUAACGCAUUAAGCGCCCCGCCUGGGGAGUACGGCCGCAAGGCUAAAACUCAAAGGAAUUGACG